AGCGUGCCAUUUCCAUGAAAAUUUCAUUUAGUCUCAUGGCAGUAUUGUUAAAAUGCAAGUAACUUAAUAGACCUUCAGGAGGAAGUGGCAGCUUUAGAAUUUAUCCUUUACAAUCUUUGCAGGAGUAAUAAGAAAUCAGAGACGAGCAGGACAAAGCUUCACAUGGAAAUGCAGCACAGCAGAUCUGCAGGAAAUGCACAAAGCUUGAGUCCGUUCACCAAGUAUUCUUCUGCUGGCAAUUUUGAUAGCAUCCCAGGACCCAGAAUAAGUCUCCUCCGGAGAGAACACCUGACAGCAUCUUCCUCAAACUCUCCACGAUCGACCAGGGGCCUGGAAGACUGCCUAGGAACGAUGCAUCAAGAGUCCCAAUAGAAUUAAAGAUAGAGAAGCAAAUAAAGCAAGGAACUGACAACCAACAAUAUUUCUAUUGACAGAUAUUAAACAAUCUGAAACAAUUGGAGGAGUUUCUCUGGCAGAGAAGAAUAUGGAUUUUCUACUUUUAACACCCUCUCUCUUGUGUGCAUGUGUGUCUCUGUGUGUGUCUGACCGUCUCUGUCCUUACCUAUCUCUAUUUGUAUCUAUGACAUCUAUAGAUCAGUUUACAAAGGAUAUGUUACAGAUCCUCUUAUACAGGGAUCUAAGUGUUGUCGAAUUAUAUGUAUCUGUGACUCAGCUCAGGUAAGAUGUCUCCUAUACCGCCUUGCCUCUCAUUGACAUUUUUACAACAGACAUGUAGAAUAGACAAUAGAUAGGCCCCCUUGGACCACAUUCAUAGAAAUGCAUUUUCUAGAUGUCAGCAUUCAUACAGAGAAGACAGCUGGUUGAGUCUACAUUUAACCAGAUUUGAAGAAAUAAGGAAAUUGAGAACACUUAUUAUCCAGUUGAAGAGAGGGAUUCUAUGAGCAAGGGGCAUCAAGAUCAUGAUGGGGAAACCUGCAGAGACAACCAAACCAAGCUAGUGGGAACUCACGAACUUUAGACCAACAGCUGUGGAGCCUGCAUAGGACUGGACUAGGCCCUCUACAUAAGCGAGACAGUUGUGUAGCUUUAUCUGCUUAAGGAGCCCCCCUGGCAGUUGGAUCAGGAUCCAUCCCUGGUGCAUGAACUGGCUUUUUGGAGCCCAUUGCCUGUGGUAGGACACCUUACAUAGCCUUGAUGCAGGGGGAGGGGCUUGGACCUGCCUCAAUUGAAUGUACCAGGCUCUGUUGACUUCCCAUCGGA